UUUACUUCCAUGUAUUGCGUAAUCUGUGAUUUUACACAGAACGGUGUUGUGUUACAUCUUGCUAUAGGUUUGGACUUGCAGUGAUUAGACACACAGAUAUAUGAGUUCUGCUGUAGGUACAUGCAGUCAGACAGGAUUUCAGAGGAAUGAGGAAACUCAGUUUAAACUCUGCAUUUCCCAAAAAAGACUCUUUACGAGCACAAUAACUUCCUCAACACCUUCCAGUCAAGCUUUUGCAACCGUGGCAGAAACAGCAGUGCACCAAGUGACCGUCUGCAACGUUGCUGAGGAGAGGACACUUCUAAUGGAUCUCCAGGAGAACUGUUCCAGCUUCAUCAGGCUGUAUGAGGAACAUCAGCCUGAACUCCAGCAGAUCAUAACUGCCAUGCUGAUGAGCAUUGAGGAGUUUUUGGAUGACUGCAGAAAGGCAGCCCAGGGCAGGGGUGGAAUACGAAUGCGGGGACUAGCAGCAGCAGCACUUGGAGCUGGGGUUGGUGGUUUGUUUGUGGGGAUUGGUGCUUUGCUGGCAGCUAUCACUGGCGCUUACUGGGGUGCAUUAGAGACUGUAGUACUGAGUGCAGUCGGGACUGGAAUGCUCACAACUGUUGGUGUUCUUGAGAUGUUCAAAGCCCCCAACAAGCCCUUACCAAACCUAAAGGAUCUCCCAGAGGACAUCAAGAAGUUUAAAACAACAGCCAGCAGAAUCAGCAGCCCCCUGAAGUACAUCUGCAAACACGUGGAGAACCUCCUGCAGACCUACGGUGAGAAAGAUCUCAGAGACAGAGCAGAUGAGCUGUUCAAUCCUGAAGAUUUGCGCACACUGUCCGUACAGGUAGAGAAAACUCUGGAGAUGAUAGACAAUAUCCAGCCAUCUGCAACCACCGUUCCCCACCCGACUGAAGACCCCAAAACACUCAGAGACGUUAACAAACUGAAGAUCCUCUCCACCGUGCUGGAGAACGAACUGGAGUCGGAAACAGGACGCUUCGUCUGGAGGACGAGAGAGAUGAUCAAUCAUCUGCAGGACACCUUAAAUCAACUGAGGUUCUCAAAGGCAGGGGUGGAGAAGGUGCUCUUACCUAAACUCAGUGCUUCUUAAAGUUUUGGUAGAGCACAUUUUGAGUCACUGAAUGUUGUUGAAAAUUAUGCUGAACUUAACUCAACCUGAUUGUGCCAUCUCGACCAAUCAGUGAAGGCAUGUUACAGUAAAUAUUUACUGGAGGUCAUGCUUUCUUUUAAUAGUACAGCUUUUCAGUUCUCAUCCAUAAAUCUCUCCCCACAUGUGGAUUGUCUGUGAGGGACUUUAAACAUAGUUUUCAGCAUGGAUGGAUGCAGUCAGGGGCAUUGCCUGGGUAUCUAAAGAUCCGGGGCUCAGCCCAGCCAAUUAAGGUCACUGGUUUAUACUGAUUACAAAACACCUAAUCAGUGAUGGUAUAGUUACUUUGAAAAAGUAAUCCGAUUACUGAUUACUCCUUUAAAAAGUAACUUAGUUACUUUAU
rnacentral:lncRNA from 1 species